rnacentral:rRNA from 1 species
AGAUUGAACGCUGGCGGCAGGCCUAACACAUGCAAGUCGAGCGGCAGCACGGGUACUUGUACCUGGUGGCGAGCGGCGGACGGGUGAGUAAUGCCUAGGAAUCUGCCUGAUAGUGGGGGAUAACGUUCGGAAACGGACGCUAAUACCGCAUACGUCCUACGGGAGAAAGUGGGGGAUCUUCGGACCU